AAAGACUUAAAACUUUUUUUCCUUUGGUUUUCACUUUAGAUCAUAGUCCUCACGCUUAGCUUUCUUGUGAAAAACUCCUCCGUGCUCCUUCCUCUUACAGUUUCUCCAUCCCUCCAACUCACUCCAUUCCGUUUGAAAUUUUUGAAUAUGGGUUCAGCUUUAGUGGUUCCAUAUCAAGGUUUUAAGAUAGAGAAAAGUUACACAUUAUUCAGACCCAAAUUGAUUGUUGCUGGAGCAAGUGCCUAUGCACGACUCUAUGAUUAUGAACGUAUCCGCAAGACCUUACAAAGUAUAUAGGUUACACCUCAAAGCAAAUGCUUUCAAAAUGAGUAAGCCACAAUUACUACACGUACAUAAGAAUGAAGGUAAGCGUCUAAUUCUUGCUUUUUCAUUCUUUUAGUAAUAAAAGUACUAUUUAGUUAAGGAUUUUUUGACUUUUACCACAAAAAAAUGUU